UACGAAGGGGGCUAGCGUUGCUCGGAAUCACUGGGCGUAAAGCGCACGUAGGCGGAUUCCUAAGUCGGUGGUGAAAUCCUGGAGCUCAACUCCAGAACUGCCUCCGAUACUGAGAGUCUUCGAGUCCGGGAGAGGUGAGUGGAACUGCGAGUGUAGAGGUGAAAUUCGUAGAUAUUCGCAAGAACACCAGUGGCGAAGGCGGCUCACUGGCCCGGUACUGACGCUGAGGUGCGAAAGCGUGGGGAGCAAGCAGG
rnacentral:rRNA from 1 species